GUUAAUGCUCAACAAGGGUGAGCUACUGUCGAGAUACAUAACAUGUAAAUGUUGAAUCUGCAUCUCACUUGAAAUGGUUGGGUUUGGAGAAACGGAUAGUCAAGCUUAUUGGAAUUAUUGUUAAAAAAGUAAUUUGAAGGCCUUCCCUGACUUAAAGUGGAUGCUGCUUUGGAAAGCACUGGAAAAAUGGAUCCUGUCUUUCUUAGCCAAGGACUGGUCUCUUUUCUCCAAUGUGUCCCUAACAGAGUGGUGAGGCUGGCUCUUCCCACCAGUACAGGAAGAUCAUUCCUUAAAAGAAAUAGCCAUAUGGCUUAUAAGUGUUCUUUCCUGUAUGAAGCCCAAGCUGUCCACUUGGAGAGACAUCUGGCCAGCCCCCCGUUGUUCCAGCCAUCCCCAGUUCAGGCAUCAGACAUGUGGUGAAGAAGCCAUCCUAGAUGCCCAGCCCCAGCUACCAUCUGAUGCAACCACACUGCUCACCCCGAGCAAGAACUGCCUGCAGGAGCCUAGUAUUAUCCUCUCUCACAGAACCAUGGCAGGGAAUAAUAAAUUGUUGUUUGAAGCCACUCUGUUUUGUGGUGGUUUGUUAGGCGGCAAUAGGAAACUAGAACACCAUAGCUUUUUUUUUUUUUUUUUUUUUUAGAAAAUAACUUGAUAUUCAUAAGCACAGCUUUUUAAGCUGCUUUUAUUAUUUUUCCCUUUAUACGAGUGCAUUCUGCAACAUAAGGAGAUUUCUAUCUCAGCCCUGAACAAGAUUUAUGAUCUUGAUCAAGUCUCUUUAUAAUAAUGUCACAGAACUUUACUUGCUUCAAUUCUAAUAUGAAGGAUUGAACUAGUUAAUCACUAAGGUCCACUCUAGUUCCAAAAUUGUGGCAUUCUCUUCUAACUAUCAGGGAAAAAUUGACUUAUUCUUUGUUAAGUUGUAGCUUGCAGUAAAGUUUUU
rnacentral:lncRNA from 1 species